AACGAACGCUGGCGGCAGGCCUAACACAUGCAAGUCGAGCGCCCCCUUCGGAGCACAGCAAUCAGCGGUCAGCAGACAGCGAUCAGAGUGGUCUGAUUGCUGACGGGCUGACUGCUGAUAGCUGUUUUCCGAUGGGGGAGCGGCGGACGGGUGAGUAACGCGUGGGAAUUUUCCUCAAGGUACGGAACAACUCAGGGAAACUUGGGCUAAUACCGAUGAUGCAGAGAUGCCAAAGAUUUAUCGCCUUGGGAUAAGCCCGCGUCAGAUUAGGUAGUUGGUGGGGUAACGGCCUACAAGCCUGCGAUCUGUAGCUGGUCUGAGAGGACGAUCAGCCAC
rnacentral:rRNA from 1 species